GCAGAUCGUCUAGGCGAUCGCAUGUAAAAGCCUGUUGGUUAGCGUAUUAAGGCUUUUAAUCUAAGUAAACGGUGGAUGGUAAAAAAGGUAGUUCAUAAUCUAAGAUCCUAAGUAUUGUAUCUUCUUAGAUGUUGAUAUGUCAAGAAGUCAUCUUGAGGUUUGUUGAAUUGUAAACGGUGGAGUUUGACCAAUCCUGUCUAUGUUCUUGGAUGUUCAGAUGUUCCAGAUACCCUAACUUGAUGAGCUUAGGUGAGACGCCCAUCUUUGUAUACAAAAUCACUGCACGCUUCAUCUUUAUCAGCACCACCAACUUCAAGUUGUAGACUUGCAGUUGAUGAAGACUUUUUAGGAAUUUUUAAGCUACUGGAAAAUAAGAGAUUUGACACAGAAUGACUGAAGUGAAAACAAAAGGGUUGAUUGGUUGCUGACUUCUGGUGAAGCUGUUGGCUGGAAUGAGUAGAAUCAUCAGAAAUCGUGAGAGUUUGGGGAUGCUGGAAGAAAAAUGGCAUGUCUAGGCUAUUCGUUAUUGAAUCAUUAAAAAUAGGUGGAUUCGGAUAAUGCUUUCAUUUUAUUUGAAAUAUCUUACUGAUGGGAAUCACAGGGAAUCACAUAUUUUUAUGAACAAAGGAACAUUUGAUCAUCAAACUGCAAAAAUAAAACAUUGAAUGCAACAAACGUUGCAUUUUGAGUUUUCUAUUCCUUCUAAUGCCAUAUGGUACUAAACCUUAAAUUUGGAACAAUGUUUGAUUCCUCUUUAUCGACUUCUUCUUCUUGAGUGGUUGAAUAAAACAAUAGAAAGAAUAAAACCUUAAAUUUGGAACAAUGUUUGAUUCCUCUUUAUCGACUUCUUCUUCUUGAGUGGUUGAAUAAAAUAAUAGAAAGAAUAAAGUGCAGAGAUAAAUAAACUAUGGGAAAAUAAAGUGUAUAUUUUAAUAUCUUAUGAUUCUU
rnacentral:lncRNA from 1 species